rnacentral:rRNA from 1 species
GACGAACCACCCAAACGUUAUUCGGAAUUACUGGGCUUAAAGGGUGCGUAGGCGGUGCGGAAAGUUGGGUGUGAAAUACCUCAGCUUAACUGAGGAACGGCGCUCAAAACUACCGUGCUCGAGGGAGAUAGAGGUGAGCGGAACUUAGGGUGGAGCGGUGAAAUGCGUUGAUAUCCUAAGGAACACCGGUGGCGAAAGCGGCUCACUGGAUCUCUUCUGACGCUGAGGCACGAAAGCUAGGGUAGCGAACGGG